rnacentral:misc_RNA from 1 species
GUAGCGGGCGGGCGUCGGGCGGCAGGCAAGGCAAGGCAGUGUGCGGUGGGCGGGAGGGGGAAGAAGACGUGUGUGGCAUUGCUCGCAACACCUAGCAUCAUCGUGCCACGCUGGCCUCGCUCUACCCUUGCAGCCACCAGCCAGCCGCACUGAGAACCAGCCAGCCAGUCAGACACCCCGGACAGGAAGUCAGUCAGCGAGGCAGUCACCGUGUCAGCGAGUCCAUCAGCCGGUCACUCGGUCAUUCAAUCAAGCAGUGACACGACCUGGUCCCGCCCGCGCCAUUCGGACAGUCAGUCAAUUAGUCACUAAGUCAGUCAGUCAGUCAGUCAGUGUUGCCUUGGAAGUGUGAGAGCGGUGAGAGGGGAAAGCGAUCUCUCUCUCUCCCACGGGCCUAGUCGCAUCAUUGCCCGUGACACCCUCUCCUGUGUGUUAUCUCAGUGAUCCGAGAGGGGCUGGAGGUGAGAGGGUAGUGUGGUGGAGGGGCGUGAUUAGAAGUGUGUAAAGAGAACAAGCAAGCAAGCAAAGGGUGUGCGUGUGUGUUAAUUGCCCUUGGUGGUGGUAGUGGUGGUAGUAGUAGUAGUGGUGGUGAAAGAAGAGGAGGAGAAGGAGGAGGAAGAGUCAUGUGUACGUGUUUGUGUGUAAAGGAGGUGGUGAAAGUUAAGAAAAGAUAAUGAAAGAGAUAGUGAAAAGAUCGAGCAUUUCGUUCCCUGGUAAGUAGCGCCAUUGCCACCUCCACCCUUGUCCUCCAGAGCUCAUUGUGUAACGCAGUGCAGGACUGUUGCAAAAAUCAAGUUAAAAAGUUUGAAAAUAAGACUGAGGCAGCAGCAGAAGGGAGGGAGGGAAAGAGAGAGAAAGAGAUGGAGGGAGCGAGGUCGGGUGUGGAAAAAAUAGUGAGGCUAUGCACGUGUCGCUAAUUAAGGAUAAUUAGAAAAGACGUAAAGUGCUUUUGAAAAAAUAAAUGAAUAAAAGUUUUGAGCUUCACCUAGUACGCUUUAAGAUUUAUAGAGGAAAGAAAAAUAAAGGCUGGUACACACGUCGCUAAACAGACCGUUGUGCUGUUUCUGAAUUUGUUGACUCCACGGGAGGCGGUGAAAAAUAACAGCAGAAGAAAGGAAAAGAAAAGUGAGAGGGAAAAAGGAAAUAAAAAAAAGAAAACAAUUGGUUGAAAAAAAAAUGAUAGGACA